rnacentral:tRNA from 1 species
GCGGGUGUAGCUCAAUGGUAGAGUUCUGGCCUGCCAAGCCAGCUGUGAGGGUUCGAUCCCCUUCACCCGCUCCA